rnacentral:rRNA from 1 species
UACGGAGGAUCCGAGCGUUAUCCGGAUUUAUUGGGUUUAAAGGGUGCGCAGGCGGGAGAUUAAGUCGGCGGUGAAAUUUUGCAGCUCAACUGUAAAAGUGCCUUCGAAACUGGUUUCCUUGAGUGUAGGUGAAGUAGGCGGAAUUUGUGGUGUAGCGGUGAAAUGCAUAGAUAUCACGAGGAACUCCGAUUGCGCAGGCAGCUUACUAAACUACUACUGACGCUCAGGCACGAAGGCGUGGGGAUCAAACAGGAUUAGAUACCCCUGUAGU